rnacentral:rRNA from 1 species
AGCGAACGCUGGCGGCAGGCCUAACACAUGCAAGUCGAACGAACUCUUCGGAGUUAGUGGCGGACGGGUGAGUAACACGUGGGAACGUGCCUUUUGGUUCGGAAUAACUCAGGGAAACUUGUGCUAAUACCGAAUGUGCCCUUCGGGGGAAAGAUUUAUCGCCAUUAGAGCGGCCCGCGUCUGAUUAGCUAGUUGGUGAGGUAACGGCUCACCAAGGCGACGAUCAGUAGCUGGUCUGAGAGGAUGACCAGCCACACUGGGACUGAGACACGGCCCAGACGACUACGGGAGGCAGCAGUGUGGAAUCUUGCGCAAGGGGCGAAAGACUGAAGCAGCCAUGCCGCGUGAAAGAUGAAGGUAUUAGGAUUGUAAAAUUCUUUCACCGGGGACGAUAAUGACGGUACCAGGAGAAGAAGCCCCGGAUAACUUCGUG